AGAACCAUAGCUUACUGAAGAACCAUUUUUUGCUGAAAUGGUUCUUUGUCUUGGCAAAAGGGUUCAUUAUUUCCCUCCUUUUUUGAUUUUAAAUUUAGUCAGUUAUUUUCAAGCUGCCUCCUGAUUAUUUUCACCUGUAAAAGCCCUGAAUCAUCAGUCCUGCUGAACCGCCUGCAGACUAACAACACAAACAGGUAAGAGAGGAAAAUAAUCAUCAUUUACUGUUAAAAACAUUUUGAAAAUUGAAGUUUUGUGUGUUCUUAUUGUAAUUUAUUUAUUUUAUAACAGGUAAACUUUAUACUGUAAGCUUCAUUCCCUUUAAAGCAGAGUUUUCAUAUGUGAGGUAAUCUUACUGGGAGUGAAGGCAGUGCGUAUGACUGCUUGAUAUGAAAGACACAUCCUGUUUUAAAAGGUGGAUCGUGAGUGAAGCUCUGCAGGUCUGCCAUUGGCUUGAUAACAGUGGUUUAUGUUAAUUGAGUGAAUUCAAUUUAUAAAUAAAUCUUUCACCAAGCAUUCACCUAUUUACUGACAAAACAGAUCCAAAUCUUGUUCAGCCUGAUGCUCAACCUUGUAUGAUGAUGACCACAGCCAGGUGAUGGAGAUCUGUGUUAAUCACAGCCUGCGUCUCAAGAUCAACAUGACAAUAGCAGACCAUUUCUUAUCUUACUCUUAUCUGACUAAAUGUUCAGCAUCAUUGCAACAAAACAAAGAACAUUGGAUGGAGUAUUGGAUGAUCCCGUAAAGAAAAUAUUAUGGCCUUUUUUGGUGAGAUUCUACAAAGAUUGACACAAUCCUAUUGUCUUUUAUUUUUACAGUUAAUA